ACGGUCCUACGGGACGCAGCAGUGAGGAAUAUUGGUCAAUGGGCGCGAGCCUGAACCAGCCAAGUCGCGUGAGGGAAGACGGUCCUAUGGAUUGUAAACCUCUUUUGUCGGGGAGCAAAAGACGCCACGUGUGGCGUUCCGAGAGUACCCGAAGAAAAAGCAUCGGCUAACUCCGUGCCAGCAGCCGCGGUAAUACGGAGGAUGCGAGCGUUAUCCGGAUUUAUUGGGUUUAUAGGGUGCGCAGGAGGAAGAUCAAGUCAGCGGUAAAAUUGAGAGGCUCAACCUCUUCGAGCCGUUGAAACUUG
rnacentral:rRNA from 1 species